ACAUGUGUCUUGUCUGCUCUGCUGUGAAUCCGGUGACGAGCCGACAUCUGUGUCCUCUCUUCACAGCUUGGGAGACUCGAGACCAAGGAUAGCGUGCUGGUGCUUUGUACAGACGCCACACAUGAAUGUGAGUUCUCGAGUCUCUUUGAGUACCUCAGCUCCUGGGCCUGACUGCCACACCACGAGUCACCGUGAAAGACAGUGGUUUGAGGAGACUCCUCAGAUACUGUGUGAGCCCGGGCACUGCACUGGAAAAGACUGCAUUUGGAGCCCUUCAGAUGCAGAUGUGUGAAGACUUUGGAAGCGACAACUGGGGGACUAUGCGGCUUCUAUUGAUUGGAAAAACACACAGCCCGGGCCCUUUGCAUAUCACAAGUAGCAUUUUUUUUUUCUGGGUUUGAGCAGGUUUGGAAAGUCAGCCGCGGGGCCUCAGCGCCCCCUGUGAGCCGGAGACAGUAUUGCAAAGGAGCAGGGACAGGCAGAGGCUGAGGUGGCUGGCUGGAAGAGGCAGCACCCUGAAGGAUAGGUGAAAGGCAGGUGCACUCACUUGGUUUUCAUCCAUUGGAACGCUUGGGAGAAUCAACUCACCUUCUCUGUUGUCAGCAGCUUAUGGCCACUCAAACCCUUCUGACCAGGACACAUGCCCAACCUCCCAGAACCAAUUAGGAAAAACUGUAAACUUGGGGUACAGUCUUGAGCCUCACGAACAAGCUGUGUGAUUUGAAGGCCGGGAGACUUCUCGAUACACCACCACACCACUCCCACUCCACCUCAUGGUAGGUACUAGAACAUAAGGGCCAAUCCGAGGAUGGCCUCACAGACCAUCCGAAUGCCUUUGCCUGUACCAGCCUCCUUGCAUGUGAUGGAUGGACAGAGCCCCUCCCUGUUGCCUCUGAGUCCCAUCAGUGACAGAAAAGGUCACACAACACCAAAGACAAAAGGAUGCCCCUUGUGUGAACAGGUAUGGCCCCUGCCAUCUCCUGGGACCAGGAUCCUUUGAUGUGAGCUCCUAUGUUUGUGGCUCUGCCUGCUUGCAUCUGUGGACAAGCAGGAACAGAAUCCAGAUGUGCCAAUCUCCAGGCUGAAAAAAGGGGGGCUCUCUGCAAUGGUUCAUCCCUGGGGAGAUGCAGGAGAGUUCAGGAGCAAAGCAGGUGUCAAAGAGGGUCUGGUCCUUGCUGUCUGAACGUAGGCCCCAUCCAGCCCCAUCAACUCCUGAACUACUCACUCUCUCCCACCCCAUAUGUAGAGCUACCAAAGGCCAAGGACACAGAGUUAGGAUCUAGACUUGAAGUGAUUCCUCUUGACAUAUCAUGUGGACCUGGGCCUACCAGCUGUUCCUUUGGAGAACUAGGUCUCUGGCACUAUACCGUGAGACUAACAUCAAGGGUGCGUGUGCUGGUAAUCGGAGUAGGCAUCAUGUAUCAGCUCUGAAAGAUCGGGUAUCUGUGUACCUCUCUCUAUGCCCUGAGGCAUCUCUGGCUCUCUCAUGGGGAACUAGGCUGAGAGAGACCACAGCAUGCAGGGGUGACACGAGAUAGCUAGAGUGCCAUUCUCUAUGGCUCCAUAGCCAGGUAUAGCACAUUGCCACAGCAGUCUGCCUCCCUUUCUUCCAAGGGGUAUUCACAAUAUUCCCAAUUCUUUAUCUCCUUCUAAAUGGCUUCCCACAGACCAGACAACCAAGGGCAUCUCUAGGCUUCUGCUCGUUGACAGAGAACAAGCCUGGGGUGGCAGACAUGAUGAUCAGAGCAGAGCCCCAAAUGGAUGAGGGGUAACCUGUGGAUAACAUCUGUGAACAAGGUCAAGGACACCACAAUAUCAGGAUGUGGGAGAGGCACGGAACCCUACCAGACAACGCUUAAAACUAACCUUGCCUCUCCACCCUGAGUCCGGUGGGUGAACCUGACCCAGGAUUGGAUUGGAGGGUGUGUCACUCAAAAGGCCCUGGAGGAGACAGGAAACCUCAGGGGAGCAGAAACUCCCAUCUGGGGGUGGGGAGGAGGAGGCUGGAAGGGCAAGGGGGCUGUAAAGACUCCCAAGUGGAAGGUAGAAGGGGUGAGAGCUUAUGUUCUAAGCAGAUGUGGUUGUUCCCUGGGCUGUGGCUCUGUGGGAGAGAAGGCAUGAGAAAUAAAUCCAGUGAGACAGCAUGAGCAUAUGGACACACAGCUGGCCAGGCACAUCUGGGAUGGAGAACUGUGCUGCUCUAGGGGUCUCUAAGGGUCAGUGGGGACCUCCAGGGCAGCUUGGGGGGGUCAGCUUUCAGCUUCAUCGGGGGAAGAGAUGUUUGUGAGACACUUCCCAGCACUCAGGUCCCGGAAGAGGGACUCACAUGGGUCCCAGGACCCCAGCGUCCCAGAAGAUACCAUCAACAUUAGUGGGAUAGGAAGGGAUGCCCUGGAGAGUCCCACACCUGGAAUCAAGUCCAUUUUUGCCAUUGAUACAUAGAUUAUUGGGAAUUGGGGCAGAGCCACCGUACCCUUUACUCUGCUGUAUCCCCACAGCAGUUAAGCAGAUUAGCCUGGGAGAAUGAAGACAUGCCAGUGUUACAGGCUGGGGACCAGAUGUAAGGGGUCUCAGCCAUUAGUGAAGUCACAGCCACAGGAAGACAGCUCAGGAGCUCUUACAUGCAUGGUAACAAGCUGUAACCACGAAUCCAUGUUCUUCUGUUUGGAACUCAGGUGAGUUCCUAGAUUCACAUGGAGGACAGGGGGGUCUAAGUACCCUGCCUAAUGGAACCAGAGCCCAGGAAUCUACCCUGAGGUCAAGAUCAAAUCCCAGACUCCGCUCCAUGGACCCAACUUCACUGUGCAUCCAGAAAACCAGAGCUGUGCUUCGGAAAUUACCCAAAGCAACUAACUGUCCCAUUGAGGCUGAUUCUCUAACCUGGAUCCCAGAAAGUCACCUUCUCAGUACAAGACAAUGGCCCUAAGGGAAGAGGGUGACAGACCCUGGACUCCAGCAACUCACAUGAAGCAAGUCCUGUCAUGCAAAGAAAACUGAGCAGAAUACUAUCCUAGAGAACGGAUACCGUGAGGGCAGCCUGUGCGCAUGUGGGGCAUAGGAAGGGCACAGGUAUGGAAUCUUUUUAACUGGGGAGACGGGGGCCUAGAGAGGUGAAGUAACUUGUUCAGGUCUAUGUAACCCCCUUCACAUCCCUCUCACAUUAAGCCUCUACUCAAUGGGUCCCUGAUGCAUGGCAUGCUAGGGUGGCUACCAGGGUGGCUACCGGGGUAUCCAGCACCCCCUCUGAGGUCUCCCUUAGGACUAGGGGUAAAGUAACUGGGCUCUUCAGAUCCCAUUUUCCGCCUGUCAUGUGACUUCACAGUUCCUUUCAGAGAGGGGAUAGGACAAGGCUAUCCCAAGGCUUGGUAGCCAGCUCACACCAGACAAUGGAGGUUUGUCACCUCCACCAUCCUUGCCACCCAGCUAAGGAUAUGUGCCCCUCGUCUACUGAGAAAACUCUCUUACUCUAAGAGCUUAGUGGAGACGUGGCAGUUAAUUUACGGGAUAAACGGGACCAGAAGCACGCACCUCC